rnacentral:rRNA from 1 species
UACGGGGGGGAGCAAGCGUUGUUCGGAUUUACUGGGCGUAAAGGGCUCGUAGGCGGCCAACUAAGUCAGACGUGAAAUCCCUCGGCUUAACCGGGGAACUGCGUCUGAUACUGGAUGGCUUGAGAUUGGGAGAGGGAUGCGGAAUUCCAGGUGUAGCGGUGAAAUGCGUAGAUAUCUGGAGGAACACCGGUGGCGAAGGCGGCAUCCUGGACCAACACUGACGCUGAGGAGCGAAAGCCAGGGGAGCAAACGGG